GAGAAGAACGCAGUGAAAUGCGAUAAGUAGUGUGAAUUGCAGAAUUCAGUGAAUCAUCGAAUCUUUGAACGCACAUUGCGCCCCUCGGUAUUCCGUGGGGCAUGCCUGUUCGAGCGUCAUUUACCCCUCAAGCACUGCUUGGUGUUGGGCGUCUGUCCCGCUUCGCGCGCGGACUCGCCCCAAAGGUAUUGGCAGCGGUCGUGCCAGCUUCUCGCGCAGCACAUUGCGCUUCUCGAGGCGGUCGAUCGGCGUCCACGAAGCUCACCUCCACCGUUUGACCUCGGAUCAGGUAGGGAUACCCGCUGAACUUAAGCAUAUCAAUAAGCGGAGGA
rnacentral:misc_RNA from 1 species